rnacentral:misc_RNA from 1 species
GAAAUGCGAUAAGUAAUGUGAAUUGCAGAAUUCAGUGAAUCAUCGAAUCUUUGAACGCACAUUGCGCCCGCCAGUAUUCUGGCGGGCAUGCCUGUUCGAGCGUCAUUACAACCCUCAGGCCCCCGGGCCUGGCGUUGGGGAUCGGCGGAAGCCCCCUGCGGGCACAACGCCGUCCCCCAAAUACAGUGGCGGUCCCGCCGCAGCUUCCAUUGCGUACUAGCUAACACCUCGCAACUGGAGAGCGGCGCGGCCACGCCGUAAAACACCCAACUUCUGAAUGUUGACCUCGAAUCAGGUAGGAAUACCCGCUGAACUUAAGC